rnacentral:rRNA from 1 species
UACGUAGGGGGCAAGCGUUGUCCGGAAUCAUUGGGCGUAAAGCGCGUGUAGGCGGCCCGGUAAGUCCGCUGUGAAAGUCGGGGGCUCAACCCUCGAAUGCCGGUGGAUACUGUCGGGCUAGAGUGCGGAAGAGGCGAGUGGAAUUCCUGGUGUAGCGGUGAAAUGCGUAGAUAUCUGGAGGAACACCGGUGGCGAAGGCGGCAUCCUGGACCGACACUGACGCUGAGGAGCGAAAGCCAGGGGAGCAAACGGG